CUGCUCAGAAGACUCACUGGUUCCCUCUUCCCUUUUGAAGGACUUAAAGGAGAAGAAGGAAGUUGUGGAGGAGGCAGAGAAUGGACGAGACGCCCCUGCCAAUGGGAACGCUAACGAGGAAAAUGGGGAGCAAGAGGCUGACAAUGA